rnacentral:lncRNA from 1 species
UGUGUGUGUUCUCCUACAUUUAUUGAUUUGUGUCAUGGAUUGAUACCCUGUUUCCUUUCUUUUCUAGAUCUAUUAUGGGUUGUUUUAUAAUCAUAAGGCCACACCAAUUUGAUUCCUUGUUCGACGGACCCGCCCGCACCUUUUUUUUUCAAAACAUAUUUUUUUUAUUUUUUUUUAUAUUCCCGCUUCCCACAUCCGGAAAUGUAAUCAUGUCUAUUUCCCGCACCGUUUUUUUUUGUUGUAAAUAUUAUAAAAUGAUAUCAACAUUGGUUUCUUUCCCUCUUACUUAUAUUCCCUAUCAAAAAAUGUUCGUUGUUAGAAUAAAGUACAAAGAACUUCUGAAGGAUUUGCCUUCAACUGCAAUUAUAUUAUAUGCUGGCAAAACAAAACUAUCUAUAGCCGCUGCAUGUUUAUGCACCUGUCCUGAUUGAUCCAGGG